UCCAACUGCGCCUUAUCCUCCUCUUUCCUUUUCCUGCGGCUGUCGUUUUCUUUCACUUCACUUUCUUAUCUCGUUUUAUCUCAGGUCGAGAAUCGAAUUCCAUUUCUACACAAUAAUAUUCAUCCUUAUCAUUAUAUCUCUCUCCGAUCUGCUGCUUCAUGUUUCACAAAUUGAAUAAAAAUUGCUAUUUGUGAAAUCUUAAUUCCUUGGCGACGGUUUUGCUCGAUAAGAUGUUUUCUGCGGUAAUUUAUGAAGGGUUUGGCUAUCUGAAUGAAUUGAUGGAUAAGUUGGAACACUAAAGCUCUGAUGCGCAAAUUAUUGGAAACUGAUGAGGUAAGGAAGCUCGUUUUCAAAUUUUGUACUAUUUUUGCAAGCGGUGCUUUUAUGAUUUAUAGUGGGAUGGAAUCCUAUUUAGAGGAGUUUGAUUACCUAUUUGAAGGUCUAGGGGAGCAGAUUAGUGUGCUCAAUUUGGUGGAAAGGCUUGAUGGGAUAGGUGAAAGAUUGCAAAUGAUUUUGAAUUUGGAUGAAACCGAUGAAGAGAGAAUAGUUGAAUUAUUGGGAAUUGAAUCAAAUAAAAAGAAGUUGAAGCAUUGGCGAUUCCAAUAUUUGGUAUGGGAGGAAUAGGAAAAAAAAGUGAUUUGGAUUUAAUACUUUUAAGUUGACAAAAGUUCUAGUAUGUUUAGAUGAUGUUUGGAAAGAAAAAUGAAGAGAUUUGGAUAUACUAUGAACUUUGUCAUAUCUGUUAGUCCUAAAGAAUGGGAAGAUGUGUCAAAAGUAUGAAGAAUGGUAGUAUUCUUUUAAUAUUAAAAUUCAGCUACCAAUAUCUUCCUCCUCAAUUGCAAAAAAUAUAUUUGCUUACUAAUUUAUUUUUCCCAAGGACUAUGAGUUUGAUAAAUCCAAUCUAGUAUAUUGUUGGUAAGUUAAACGGUAACCUGCUUUAAGAAGGAAUCCAUUGCAAAGAUGUGGUUUGUAUGGGAUGGCUAUGAUGGUCACAGAAACUUUGAAAUUGAGGUUUUAUGCAAAUGGAAGAAUUAGAUGGUGAUUAUUUUUAGAUAAACUCUUGGCAAGAUUAUUCAUCCAAUGGUCAAGUGGCAAAUAUUCAUUUUUGGGAUGCACAACAUCCUUCAUGAUUGGAUAUAUGUUGAAAAAUAUUUCUAUAAUGGUCCAUCACUUGUCAUUCAUUGAUUUAUAUAUGUGACUAGCGGUCUAAUCUUAUGACCUUUCGCCACUACCCAUUUUGAAGAAGUACGUUGUUCAGCCAUUCUUCUUUUAUUAAGGAGCUUUGCCUGAGUUAUUGCCAAAAUUAUACUGUAUUAAAAAUGCUAUCAUUAAUUGGCUAUGAUUCAAUAUAUGAGCUUCCAAGUUUUGUUGGUGGUUAUGAGACAUUUGGAGCACGAGCUAAAUGAUCCUCAAAAUGUUUCUGAUGCACUAAAGCCCCAUGAAAAUUUAUCAAGUCUUGAAAUUGAUUUUUAGGGGGAUUAAAAUUAUCUGUUUUAUUGGGAAUUUAUCGUUAUCCAAGUUAACAAACAAGUUUUAAUGGUUGUAAUAAGUGCACGAGUUUUCCACAUUAGGGAAACUAGCUUUACCCAAAGACUUGAACAUAUGACAUGCUAAGGAGAGUUUAGCAGUUGUCAAAAGGUGUCCUCAGCUUGGUGUUCUUCCUGCUAUUAGUUUUCUUCAUAUAGAGGAUUGUGAAGCUCUGGAGUUCAUUUGUAUAUCAGCAAUUGAUGGGAAAAUCUAAUAAAGCUUGCUUCUGAGAAUUCAGAGGCCUUGAAUUCUGAUCGAACGGAAGAUCGCCUUCUAGCUGCUGUGCCCAGAACAGAAACUUGGUUGUGUCCCUGCGCACAUCUUUCUUCCUCUUUUUAAGUUUUUUUUAGCCAAGCAAGAGAGGUCACGAGGUCUUGGCUCGGCUGAUUUAGCACAUUCUGAACAUUUUGGUAACAAUGCUUUUGAUAUAUCGUCAAUGUCGUUUUCCUGGUUUGGUCAUCCAAGUCUCUCAUCUCAUUUGUUCGGAUCCUCGUAAAGGCAUUCUCCUUAUUUGGCACAGCUUGUUGUAUAACUUUAGUAGUUACCCUGUGGGACAACUAGGAUAAAGGUGAAUGGGAAGAUGGUAUGUUGGAGCCAGAA